GUUUCUGUGGUCUAGUGGUUAAGGCACCGGCGUCCAAAGCUGGGGGCCCGGGUUCGAUUCCCGGCAGGGACA
rnacentral:tRNA from 1 species